GUGGAUUAGAUACCCUGGUAGUCCACGCCCUAAACGAUGAAUACUCGCUGUUAGCGAUAUACAGUUAGCGGCUAAGCGAAAGCGUUAAGUAUUCCACCUGGGGAGUACGCCCGCAAGGGUGAAACUCAAAGGAAUUGACGGGGGCCCGCACAAGCGGAGGAGCAUGUGGUUUAAUUCGAUGAUACGCGAGGAACCUUACCCGGGCUUGAAAGUUAGUGAAGUAUCCAGAGAUGGAUGCGUCCGCAAGGACACGAAACUAGGUGCUGCACGGCUGUCGCCAGCU
rnacentral:rRNA from 1 species